GCUGGGUGUGGUGGCUCGUGCCUGUAGUCUCAGCUACUUGGGAGGCCAAGGCAGGAGGAUUGCUUGUGCCCAGGAGGUGGGGGUUGCAGUGAGCCGAGAUCGCGCCACUGCACUCCAGCCUGGGCAACAAAGUGAGAUCUUGUCUCAC
ensembl:misc_RNA Metazoa_SRP Metazoan signal recognition particle RNA